rnacentral:rRNA from 1 species
UACGAAGGGGGCUAGCGUUGCUCGGAAUCACUGGGCGUAAAGGGUGCGUAGGCGGGUCUUUAAGUCAGGGGUGAAAGCCCGGAGCUCAACUCCGGAAUUGCCUUUGAGACUGGGCGACUUGAAUCCGGGAGAGGUGAGUGGAAUUCCGAGUGUAGAGGUGAAAUUCGUAGAUAUUCGGAAGAACACCAGUGGCGAAGGCGGCUCACUGGACCGGUAUUGACGCUGAGGUGCGAAAGCGUGGGGAGCAAACAGG